rnacentral:rRNA from 1 species
GCGGCAGUCUUCCCCAGUAAAGUCCUCUCCCCUCCUCCGCCGGAAUCCUUCGCCUCUUUUCCUCGUCAGCCUCCUUCUCCCAUCUUCUGGUGCCGUCCCAUGCGGACGUGGUUCCCUCUGCUGGAAAGCAAGGGUUGUUCGCUAUAGUUUGCUUGUAUUGUUUGUUCGUCUUUGCUCUCGUCUUUUUCUUUGUUUUCAAGAAUCGAAUCCAACGAAAAUUUUCCCUCUUGAAGACCAAUCUCGGUUGACCCUAUCCAAGCCGCCCUCAAACUAAUACUACCAGCACCAGUUUGUUUGUUUUCGAAAUAAACCGGGGAUUCCGCCAUGCCCCGCGGCAAGUCCUCCUCCGGCGGCAGCUUGUUCUACCGGAGGAAGCACUCAUGGCGCCGCGAUGAGUUAGUGAGCAGGAGCACCCUGCAUCUGCUGGACUUCGAUGACGGUACACCACCAGAACAUGCUUGGAGAAGAAAAUUAAGUAGUCACGCUAAUAGACUGAAGGAGUUCAAUGUUACGUUCAGAGAAGCAUUUAAAAUGAUGAAGCUUGGUCUCCGGCUUUGGUCAUAUGUUCGAGAAGAAGCUUCCCAGGGAAGGAAAGCACCAAUUGAUCCAUUCACGAGGGAGAGCAGCAAACCAUCAGCCUCACAAGGAGUACCCCUUGGUGGGAUGGGGACUGGUAGCAUAUCAAGAGGUUUUAGAGGGGAGUUCAAACAUUGGCAGAUAACCCCUGGUUCAUGUGAUAUGUCACCAGUGAUGGAAAACCAUUUUUCGAUCUUUAUAACUAGAGAAGGAGGAAGCAAAAAGUACUCCUCAGUUUUAGCUCCUGGUCAGCAUGAUGGUUUAAAAAAAUCUAGCGAUGAUGGCAUAUCAUCCUGGGAUUGGAAAUUAAGGGGUGCUCGUUCAACAUACCAUGCUUUGUUUCCUCGAGCAUGGACUGUUUAUGAUGGUGAACCUGAUCCUGAAUUGAAAUUAUCUUGCCGUCAAAUAUCUCCAUUUAUUCCCCACAACUAUGAAGAGAGUAGUCUCCCAGUCUCCGUUUUUGUCUACACUCUAGUGAAUACCGGAAAGGAAAGGGCACAAAGUCAGCCUAGUAAUGACCUGGGCGAAUUCUAUUGGUGGACUUUCACAUCAGUCUGGUGGUCAUGUAAAUGAACCAUUCAUUGGAGAAAAUGGAAUUUCUGGUGUUCUCCUACAUCACAAGUAAUGUCAUCAACUGUCCAUAAUUGUCUUUCCUAUGGUCAUUUGGCAGAUUUCCCUUAAGCAUUUCUAUGAAGUGCCAAAUGCAAACUAAGAGCUUCUAGCUGAUCAUUGUUUGCAACAGUAUCUCCACACUGGCUUGUUCUGAUCGAUUUGGGGACGGAGUUUUUUCAGUCACAUAACGUAUUCUCAUCCCUAUAUUUCUAUUAGAAGCACCAACAAUCUCUGUCUAAAGAAGCAAUAAGUUUUUGCCAGAUACAUGACAUUCUCUGCACGUUUCUUCUAAUCUAGUGUUUUGCUUAUCUAGCAAUAAUUAUCAAUUACAAACGUUGCAGGACUGCCAACAAUAAUCCUCCAGUAACAUUUGCUGUUGCUGCACAUGAAAACCAAAAUGUUGCCAACGUAAAAACUAGCCAGUCUUUUGGGUAUGAAACCCAUUUGGGCGAGAGUAGUACUAGGAUGGGUGACCUCCUGGGAAGUCCUCGUGAAAGGGUUUCAUAUCUAGCCUACCCCAACUUGUUUGGGAUAAAAGGCUUCGUAAGCAAAAAAGUAAGCAAAACAGUGUUGCCAAUUUUUGGGCUUUCUGGAGAAAGUUCAGUCACUGCUAAGGAGAUGUGGGGCACAAUGGUCCAGGUGAUUUUUCCUUUUGUCCUACAGUCAGAAUGCACCUCUUUUUUGUAGGCUUGGUAUUGGAUAUUCGUGCAAAGAAGUGAAUCAUACAUUGAACCGAUUUGUCUGUUUGAAAUAAACAAAAACUGGCAAAAAAAAUUGACUGUACUCUAUGUCUUGCCAUAUAAUUUUUGAAAGGGUGGUUGCUUUGACCAAGAUAAUUUCAAUGCUGGCCCCAGCAUGCCUUCUUCAGUGGGUGAUACAGUUUGUGCAGCAGUUUCUGCUUCAACCUGGGUUGAACCACAUGGAAGAUGUACGGUCGUAUUUUCGUUGGCUUGGUCUUCUCCCGAUGUUAAAUUUAAGAAGGGAAGUACGUACCACAGGAGAUAUACGAAGUUCUACGGAACUUCCCCAAGAUCUGCUAUAAACCUAGCGCAAGAUGCCUUGAUGAAGUACAAGCAUUGGGAAGAGGAAAUCGAUAAGUGGCAGACCCCAAUUCUCCGUGAUGAGAGGUUUCCAGAAUGGUACAAAAUUACUCUCUUCAAUGAGUUAUACUUCCUAGUGGCUGGAGGAACUGUUUGGAUUGACAGUGAUUUGAGUUCAAGUCUACCUGAGGACAGUGAUUUACCACUUCAUAACAGCACUUGCAACUCUACAGUUCCACUUAUUGGUUCUAGCCCACCUGAUUUUGAUGACAAAGAAAAUGUUGGGAAGUUUUUGUACCUUGAAGGAGUGGAGUACUUCAUGUGGUGCACUUACGAUGUACACUUCUAUGCUUCGUUUGCUCUGUUGGAUCUCUUUCCUAAGAUUGAGCUGAGUAUUCAACGGGACUUUGCUAGAGCUGUUUUGCGUGAAGAUAAAACUAGAGUCAGAUUUCUUGCUGAUGGUACAUGGGGCACACGCAAAGUAAUUGGUGCUGUUCCCCAUGAUCUCGGAGCACAUGAUCCUUGGCAUGAAUUGAAUGCAUACAAUAUACAUGAUACAAGUAGAUGGAAAGAUCUGAAUCCCAGGUUUGUGCUCCAAGUUUACAGGGAUUUUGCUGCAACAGACGACAUGUCAUUUGGCAAGGAUGUCUGGCCUGCAGUUUGUACUGCUAUGGAAUACAUUGAACAGUUUGAUCGUGAUGGUGAUUGUAUGAUUGAGAAUGAUGGUUUUCCUGAUCAAACUUAUGAUGCUUGGACUGUUCUUGGAGUAAGUGCCUACUGUGGUUGUCUUUGGCUUGCUGCCCUUCAAGCUGCAGCCGCAAUGGCCCGCAGCCUUGGACAUGAUGACUAUGCUGACAGGUGCAUGGUGAAAUUUGCGAAGGCUAAACACGUGUUUGAAGCCAAGUUGUGGAAUGGUUCAUAUUUCAAUUAUGACAGUGGAACAAGUUACAGUAGCCGCUCCAUCCAGGCAGAUCAGUUGGCCGGACAAUGGUACACUGCAUCAUCUGGCUUGCCACCUCUGUUUGAUGAGGACAGAAUAAAAUGCACGCUUCAGAAAAUAUUUGACUAUAAUGUGAUGAGGGUGAAAGGAGGACGCAUUGGAGCAGUCAAUGGUAUCACCCAAAUGGGAAGGUAGACGAGACAUGUAUGCAGUCAAGAGAAAUCUGGACUGGAGUAACAUACAGUUUAGCUGCAACGAUGCUGCUCCACGGAAUGGAGGAUCAGGCUUUCACUACAGCGCAAGGCAUUUUUCUUGCAGGAUGGUCUAAAGAGGGCUAUGGGUAUUGGUUUCAAACUCCAGAAGCAUGGACUAUUGAUGGCCACUAUAGAUCUCUGAUAUAUAUGCGCCCGCUUGCGAUAUGGGCAAUGCAGCAUGCGCUGUCUCCUCCAAGGGCGAUCCUCGAGGCCCCAAAGGUAAAUACAAUGGAGAGGGCCUACGUUUCUCCUGGUGCGCUCCAGUUUCUCCAGGAUAGCGUCAGGAAGAUCACUCCCAAGAGUGGCUGUUUUUGAGCCAAUGUGUAUGUGGUCUGUGGUUGCUGGUGUGAUUAGAGAUUUAGCUCAAUUAUUCCUGUACAUGCAUCUGUAAAGAAAUGCAGAGUUGCAAUUUCCUUUCUGCGGAGGGAACUUCAUGUGCAACCAAUCUUGUAUAUUGUGAUCAUUGUCAGUGAACCCAACUCUGUACAGUACUGUACAUUAUAUGUAUAGACCCCAUGCGAUGUUGCGUGAAUUGGUUGAUGAAAAUUUGGGUUGAUAACAUGACAACCAAAACUAAAAAUGC